AAUAUUGGACAAUGGGCGAAAGCCUGAUCCAGCCAUGCCGCUUGUGUGAAGAUGGUCNNNGGAUUNUCAAGCACUUUUAGUUGNGAGNAAUGUUUGUCGGAUAAUACCCUGCAAUUUUGACGUUACCAACAGAAUAAGCACCGGCUAACUUCGUGCCACCUGCCGCGGUAAGACGAAGGGUGCAAUCGUUAACCGGAAUUACUUGGCGUCAAGCGCGCGGAGGUGGUGCGGUAAGUUGGAAGUGAAAGCCCCGGGCUUAACCUGGGAAAUGGUUUCAAAACUGAAGAGCUAGAGUACGGUAGAGGGUAGUGGAAUUUCCUGUGGAGCGGUGAAAUGAGUAGAUAUAGGAAGGAACAUCAGUGGCGAAGGCGACUACCUGGACUGAUACUGACACUGAGGUGAAAAAGCGUGGGGAGCAAACAGG
rnacentral:rRNA from 1 species